rnacentral:rRNA from 1 species
AUUGAACGCUGGCGGCAGGCCCAACACCUGCAAGUCGAACGAGUGGCAGACGGGUGAGUAAUGUCUGGGAAACUGCCUGAUGGAGGGGGAUAACUACUGGAAACGGUAGCUAAUACCGCAUACCAUCGGAUGUGCCAAGAGGGGAUUGGCUAGUAGGUGGGGUAAAGGCUCACCUAGGCUACGAUCCCUAGCUGGUCUGAGAGGAGGACCAGCCACACUGGAACUGAGACACGGUCCAGACUCCUACGGGAGGCAGCAGUGGGGAAUAUUGCACAAUGGGCGCAAGCCUGAUGCAGCCAUGCCGCGGGUAUGAAGAAGGCCUUCGGGUUGUAAAGUACUUUCAGCGGGGAGGCGUUACCCGCAGAAGAAGCACCGGCUAACUCCGUGCCAGCAGCCGCGGUAAUUC